ACAAGUGUGAAGAGGAACCGGGGGUUGCAAGGUUCUGUAGGAAGAGUGAUGUGGCCACGGCCACACAGAGAUGAAAGAGCCACAUUUUCCUAAAGUGGAAAAAGAUUGGUAAACUGCAUGCAGUCAGGAAGAACACAGGAGUUAUCUCCAAACCAAUGCCCUUCAAACAAAGGAAUUAUUGUGACUGUAUUUUGGAAGAAUCUAUGUUAAUUUCAGAAUGCAUUUUAUGGGAUUUAAAAGCUCUUUCUGGCUUUGGGGGUUCAUGACAAAAGGUAAAAGGGGUGGUGCAGAGGUCAGGGCCAUUGCUGCCUGAAGUGAAGACCUGAGUUCCAUUGCCUGAACCCACAAGGUGGAAAGGAAUUGUCCCUUGUUGUCCACACAGGUGCUAUGACAUGCGUCUCCCACAGCCCUGCACAAUAAUACAUGUAAAAUUUUUUU